rnacentral:rRNA from 1 species
CCUACGGGGGGCAGCAGUGAGGAAUAUUGGUCAAUGGGCGCGAGCCUGAACCAGCCAAGUCGCGUGAGGGAAGACGGUCCUAUGGAUUGUAAACUUCUUUUGUCGGGGGGCAAAAGACGCCUCGCGUGGCGUUCCGAGAGUACCCGAAGAAAAAGCAUCGGCUAACUCCGUGCCAGCAGCCGCGGUAAUACGGAGGAUGCGAGCGUUAUCCGGAUUUAUUGGGUUUAAAGGGUGCGCAGGCGGAAGAUCAAGUCAGCGGUAAAAUUGCGGGGCUCAACCUCUGCGAGCCGUUGAAACUGGUUGUCUUGAGUGAGCGAGAGGUAUGCGGAAUGCGUGGUGUAGCGGUGAAAUGCAUAGAUAUCGCGCAGAACUCCGAUUGCGAAGGCAGCAUACCGGCGCUGAACUGACGCUGAGGCACGAAAGUGUGGGUAUCGAACAGGAUUAGAUACCCCGGUAGUC